GCAUCGCUCCGGAGCUGGAUGGGGGGGGGCGUUGCCUUAGAAUAUACGGGCGUGGCCUUAAUGAGGGGCGUGUUCUCUAUGCGUGGUGGGGGCGUGAUCCCUGAGGCUGAGCUGUGCGUGCCCCCGAGGCGAGAGGCGGCUCCGCGUCCCGCCCGCUCAAACCUCGCGCUCCCGCGGCGCCCUCGGCUCCCCCGCGCCGUCGCCGACGCCAUGGACAACUCUUACGAGAACACGAUGGGCGUGGAGACCUACAUGGCACCCGAGGAGGACUGGGACCGCGAGCUACUGCUCGACCCUGCCUGGGAGAAGCAGCAGCGCAAGACGUUCACGGCAUGGUGCAACUCACACCUGCGCAAGGCCGGCACAGGCAUCGAGAACAUCGAUGAAGAUUUCCGCAACGGCCUGAAACUCAUGCUGCUCCUUGAGGUUAUCUCAGGUGAGCGUUUGGCCAAGCCGGAGAGGGGAAAGAUGAGAGUGCACAAGAUCUCCAAUGUCAACAAGGCUCUGGAUUUCAUUGCCAGCAAGGGUGUGAAACUCGUGUCCAUUGGUGCAGAAGAAAUUGUGGAUGAAAUGCAAAGAUGACCCUGGGUAUGAUCUGGACAAUUAUUCUGCGUUUUGCCAUUCAGGACAUCUCUGUUGAAGAAACCUCUGCCAAGGAGGGCCUCCUGCUCUGGUGCCAGCGGAAGACGGCUCCGUAUAAAAACGUCAACGUGCAGGAACUUUCACAUCAGCUGGAAGGAUGGCUUGGCAUUCAAUGCCCUCAUACACAGGCACCGGCCGGACCUGAUCGACUACGAGAAACUGCGAAAGGAUGAUCCCAUCACAAACCUCAACAAUGCUUUCGAAGUGGCAGAGAAGUACUUGGACAUUCCAAAGAUGCUGGAUGCAGAAGACAUCGUGGGCACAGCACGUCCAGAUGAGAAGGCCAUCAUGACCUACGUGUCGUGUUACUACCAUGCAUUCUCGGGGCGCGCCGAGACGGCGGCUAACAGAAUCUGCAAGGUCCUGGCUGUCAACCAGGAGAAUGAGAAACUCAUGGAGGACUACGAGCACAUGGCCAGCGAGCUGCUGGAUUGGAUCCGGCGUACCAUCCCAUGGCUGGAGAACCGCGUGCCGGAGAACACCAUGCAGGCCAUGCCAAGGCAAGCUGGAGGGCUUCCGCGACUACCGCCGCGUGCACAAGCCACCCAAGGCCCCAGGAGAAGUGCCAGCUGGAGAUCAGCUUCAACACGUUUGCAGACCAAGCUGCGGCUCAUGAACCGCCCCUGCCUUCAUGCCCUCCGAGGGCAAGAUGGGUCUCGGUGAGUUUCGGCCUCUCUGGCACAGUAAUCGUUCUCUUGGCCCGCAGUUUACAUUUAUUUUACUUGGUGCAGCCUGUGACGACAUCUCCUGGAAUGCAGUGCCCCAAUCCACUCGAUCUCAGAAGAUAAGCGGGAUUAGAGCCAGCAUCGUCCUUGGAUGGGUGACCGCCAUGCAUGAAACAGGUGUCGUAGGUCGUGGGGCAAUGUUGUUGGCAGCAGACGGGAGUUACAGAACUUUGGACAAAUCACCCCCCCCGCCACUCGCAUGGUGUGGGAAGGCCCUCAUCCAAGCGGUGGAUUGACCGUAAUGCUGCACGUGUACACAUGAGCAUUUAUUCGUGUUCCUCAUUUGGUUUUGUGCGUCAUGGAAAGAGAGGUGUCACCAAAACCGCCGUUUCACACCUGCACGUGUACUUCUCAUCACAGGACAUCGCGAAUGGCUGGUCCAUGCUGGAGCAGGCGGAGAAGGGCUACGAAGAGUGGCUCCUCAAUGAGAUCCGACGCCUGGAGCGGCUCGGACCACCUGGCCGAAAAGUUCAGGCAGAAGGCCAAGAUCCACGAGGCGUGGACCGCAGGCAAGGAGGCGAUGCUGGAGAAGCGCGACUAUGACUCGGUGUCUCUGACGGAGCUCAAGGCACUGCUGCGCAAGCACGAAGCCUUUGAGAGCGACUUGGCUGCUCACCAGGACCGAGUGGAGCAGAUCGCCGCCAUUGCCCAGGAGCUCAAUGAGCUGGACUACCACGACGUGGCGAGCGUGAACGCACGCUGCCAGGACAUCUGUGCCGAGUGGGACAAGCUCGGCGACCUCACCCAAAGACGCAAGGAUACCCUAGAGAGGACAGAGAAGGUCCUGGAGACCAUCGACCAGUUGUACCUGGAGUUCGCCAAAAGGGCGGCGCCCUUCAACACGUGGAUGGACGGAGCUGUGGAGGACCUGCAGGACAUGUUCAUCGUUUCACCACCAUCGAUGAGAUACAGGGUCUGAUAUCGGCUCACGAGCAGUUCAAGGAUACCCUGCCUGAAGCAGAGAAGGAAAAGAGCGCCAUUCUGGGCGUGCACAACGAGAUUCAGAAGGUGGCGCAGACGUACAACGUCAAGCUGGCCGGGCCCAAUCCGUACAGCGCCAUCACGCCACACGACAUCUCCAGCAAGUGGGAGAGAAUGACACAGCAGGUUCCGCUGCGGGACGACUCUCUGCGUGAUGAGCUGGCACGGCAGCAGGCCAAUGAGACGCUCCGUCGGCAGUUCGCAGCCUCGGCCAACAUCGUGGGGGCCCUGGAUACAAACCAAGAUGCAGGAGAUUGGACACAUCUCCAUCGAGAUGCACGGCACGCUGGAGGACCAGCUGAACCAGCUGAGACGUUACGAACAGAACAUCAUCAACUACAAGCCCAACAUCGACAAACUGGAGAGCGAGUACCAGCUGGUGCAGGAGGCCCUCAUUUUUGACAACAAGCACACCAACUACACAAUGGAGCACAUCCGCGUGGGCUGGGAGCAGCUGCUCACGACCAUCGCUCGCACCAUCAACGAAGUGGAGACCCAGAUCCUGACGCGGGACGCCAAGGGUAUUAGCCAGGAGCAGAUGCAUGAAUUCCGCGCCUCUUUUAACCACUUCGACAAGGAUCACUCUGGCAAGCUGGGUGCGGAGGAGUUCAAGGCUUGCCUCAUCAGCCUGGGCUACGACGUAGGGAAUGACCAGCAGGGAGAAGCAGAGUUUGCGCGGAUCAUGACAGUCGUUGAUCCCAACAACACGGGCCUGGUCACAUUCCAGUCAUUCAUCGACUUUAUGACGCGCGAGACCACCGAUACCGACACGGCCGACCAGGUCAUCGCCUCUUUCAAGAUCCUCGCCGGCGACAAGAACUUCAUCACGGCCGACGAGUUGCGGAGGGAGCUGCCCCCGGAUCAGGCUGAGUACUGCAUCGCCCGAAUGGCCCCGUACCGCGGGCCUGACGCCGUGCCCGGCGCACUCGACUAUAUGUCCUUCUCCACCGCUCUCUACGGCGAGAGCGACCUGUAGCCACGGAGAGCCGCUCGUACACAUGCACACCACGCACUUGCACAUUCGCGACACGCGGUCACAAGACACAGCACAUCCAUCCUUGACACCCAACUUCCCUACACUAUUCAAGCAGCUUUCAGAUGAUCCCGACUGCUGUGCACAACAGAGAUCGGUUACCAAGCGUGCAGUUUGCCUAUCCAUGGUCACACUUGAACAGAUCGUGUGCUGAAGUGUGGACCGAUGCUGUGCGGAAAUUCGUGAUCCUGUCCUGUGAUCCACAUGGAGGAAUGGCGAACUGGAGUCUGACACUCCCACGCAUGACGUGACCACGAAUGAACUUCACUUACUGUGUCCUUGGAGAAGGGGGAAGGACAACAGAACACGAAAUGCAACAAUGAAUUUAAAUCGAACAUACACCUAAACAAGUAUACACAAAACAAAUUUCGUGUAUGUACAGUAAACAGAUUUAUUUGGCUUACCACCAUUGGGUUAUUGCUGUAUUUGUUUAUUAUUAAGUAGUUAUCAAGAUUUACAGAAGUGCCCUUUUGUAGAAUACAAAAUUAAGAGGGCUUUGUUUUUUAUCUAGUAUUUUACUGAUAUUUCUCGUAUCUCAAAACAUGUUAAGGCUUAAUACAUACCAUUUUUAGCCAUCAGCGCAUCAUUGAGAAGCCCAGUGUAUAAAAUAAUGUACCCAGGACAAUACUUAGUUCUUAAAUAAAAAAUCUAUGCAUGUCCGCUUGGAAAGCAUCAGACAUAGGGUGAUACUCGGUCUUGUAAAGAAUGUGUUAUUUGAGUAGUAAUGCGAUCUGUUUACAGCAGAGGUGGGAAACGCAGUUAGCAUUGAGUUGUUGAGCUGGGUAGAUCCGCAAUUUGGGGGUCUGGUGGUGUGUGUUUGACUGCACUUGGUGUAGUAUUGGCAUCUGGAAACACAUUGCUUAUUUGGCCUAAUGACUUCACAAUGGUCAGAGAACCGUUGCUCACCACUGGAUUACAGAAACCUAUAGUUGUUUUUUUAAUAUACAGUAGCAGCGUGCGCUAAAAAUAUAGGGUUUUUAAAUGGAAUGUGUAAUAUGAGAAUCUGUUUAAAAAUACAAACCGCAUGUUACAACCCACCACUUUUAAUACAGUUGUAGGUCUUUGCAUGUAAAAGCAACUUGGAUUUUAAUUCCACUGCACAGCAUUGUCAUUUGAAUAGCUGCUUCAAGUUGGUGGUCACUGUCCCCAUGCAUUUAAGAAUGUCCGUUGCUCCCAAGUAAACCCCGUCUUAUUUAUAUGAAACAGUGUUAGAAUUGGAUCGGUGCUGAUUUUAAAUUCUACAUUUAUAUUGUAUCUUAACUUUCUUAUGAAUUUAGUCUUUCCAAUCAUGGGGCUUAGACAAAUGGACCAAGUUACUUAGCUGUAUAAUGGUGUGUUAUUUAACAUUUUUUUUACUGUACCACAAUAGUGUUUGCCCUGUAUUUUAAACAUCAAAUGUGGAAAUCAGUUGUUUUUAGUGGAAAUACAGCGAGGUGAAAUGUUAAUCUUGCUAAAUGAAAUGUUGGCGUUUUACAACGAAUGAUUGCCUUUCCACGGUAUUGUUACAGGGUUUUAACUUUGAACGCAUAUUUUUAAUGUGGACGUGGAGAUAAGCAGGCCUCAAUGAAACUCCACUGGGCAGACCGCUGACGUCCUUGGGUGCAUUGUGCAGAUAUGUAAUCACGUGGGUAAAUAAAGGCUUACGUUGGAUAUAACCACA